AUCACUUCUUGGCCUUUUGGCUAAGAUCAAGUGUAGUAUCUG
rnacentral:snRNA from 1 species